rnacentral:rRNA from 1 species
AUACGGAGGAUCCAAGCGUUAUCCGGAAUCACUGGGUUUAAAGGGUCCGUAGGCGGGUUUGUAAGUCAGUGGUGAAAGUUUUCGGCUCAACCGGAAAAUUGCCAUUGAUACUGCAAGUCUUGAAUCAUUAUGAAGUGGUUAGAAUGUGUAGUGUAGCGGUGAAAUGCAUAGAUAUUACACAGAAUACCGAUUGCGAAGGCAGAUCACUAAUAAUGUAUUGACGCUAAGGGACGAAAGCGUGAGUAGCGAACAGGAUUAGAAACCCCAGUAGUCC